GACGAACGCUGGCGGCGUGCUUAACACAUGCAAGUCGAACGGAAAGGCCCCUUUGGGGGUACUCGAGUGGCGAACGGGUGAGUAACACGUGAGUAACCUGCCCUUGACUUCGGGAUAACUUCAGGAAACUGGGGCUAAUACCGGAUAGGAAUCCUUGCUGCAUGGUGGGGGUUGGUAAGUUUCGGCGGUUUUGGAUGGACUCGCGGCUUAUCAGCUUGUUGGUGGGGUAGUGGCUUACCAAGGCUUUGACGGGUAGCCGGCCUGAGAGGGCGACCGGCCACAUUGGGACUGAGAUACGGCCCAGACUCCUACGGGAGGCAGCAGUGGGGAAUAUUGCACAAUGGGCGGAAGCCUGAUGCAGCAACGCCGCGUGCGGGAUGACGGCCUUCGGGUUGUAAACCGCUUUCAGCAGGGGCGAAGCUUUUGUGACGGUACCUGCAGAAGAAGCACCGGCUAACUACGUG
rnacentral:rRNA from 1 species